AGGAUGUAACCUCCGGGAGUGACUCGGUGACACCGAGUUUGUCCCGCGCAGAAACACUUCAAUGUGAAUCAGAUAAGCUGAAAACAAGCCCAGAACUCAGGGUUAUAUCUACCAGAAACUACGCUUCUAGAGAACGCUGCCCAGCUCUCCAAGUCCAAGGCAGCUACCGCGCGUGGUGUUUGUGAUUUUAUUUUAUAGAGUGAGCUUUCUGCGUGAGGUUCUGGAGCGUGAGUUGGGAAGAAUACGAGCGAUUUUCAGUCGUCCGCAAACAGACACUCAUGGGAGGAAAAUCUCAGGGUGACUGCUCACCUCCCCUUCCUCCUAGGGCCCCGAAGUCGGAGGCCCUAAGCCAUGGGCUGUAUCUCAGAAUCGGUUCAGCAUAUCUGGCCGGAGAAAUUGGUUAACAUUUGCUGAGAAUAAAACCCCGGCGGUUCCAGCAGCCAUUUUGAAUUAAAUUUCCCACCCCGACAAGCCCUCGUCCCUCUGCUGCACAUCCAGGACCUGGUGGAGGAGAAAGGCGCUGGGCGCAGGGGUUGGGAAAGCUCUUUCAAGUGGGUUCCUCCACGGCAGCCUCCUGAAGCCCUGGGAUCGGGGGACCUCGGUGGCAGGCGCUCAGCUAACUCGGGGAAAGGAACUCUAUGGCUGCAGGACCUACUGUCAGGGGGCUGCACCUACCGACCCCGAACCCACGGCCCUCGCAGAGCAGGAAGCCUCCUCCUCAGCUCCCUGCACGCUUCCCUUCCUUCGCCGAUGGUCCCCACCACCUCCAAAAGAAAGUUCCUUCAAAUGUUCCUGCGGUAAAGCAUUUCAUUUUGUCUCUGCGGAACGGCAAAGCAGCUAGUAUUGCGAGGGGCCUAGAUGUCGCUUAUCUCAACCCAUAAAAAA